rnacentral:rRNA from 1 species
CAGUCGCCACGGUAAUACGAAGGGUGCAAGCGUUAAUCGGAAUUACUGGGCGUAAAGCGUGCGUAGGCGGUUUGUUAAGUCUGCUGUGAAAUCCCCGGGCUCAACCUGGGAAUGGCAGUGGAUACUGGCAAGCUAGAGUGUGUCAGAGGAUGGUGGAAUUCCCGGUGUAGCGGUGAAAUGCGUAGAGAUCGAGAGGAACAUCAGUGGCGAAGGCGGCCAUCUGGGACAACACUGACGCUCAUGCACGAAAGCGUGGGGAGCAAACAGGAUUAGAUACCCCAGUAGUCCCUGUCUCUUAUAA